rnacentral:rRNA from 1 species
GAUUUCUGGCUUGAAACAUUUUGCCGGCCACGGUUUCGUGUGUUAGUGCUUGGUGUUCUGGCCAUCCUUCCAAUCGCUAUUUGUCUUUCUUCAUUGAUGGGCAAGUGGUAUUGGAUCUUUUACUUUGAAAAAAUUAGAGUGUUCAAAGCAGGCUUGCGCUAUGAAUACAUUAGCAUGGAAUAAUAAUUUAGGACUUCUGUUCUAUUUUGUUGGUUUCUAGGAUGGAAGUAAUGAUUGAUAGGGAUAGUUGGGGGUGCUAGUAUUCAGCGGCCAGAGGUGAAAUUCUCGGAUUCGCUGAAGACUAACUUAUGCGAAAGCAUU